rnacentral:misc_RNA from 1 species
GAAAUGCGAUAAGUAAUGUGAAUUGCAGAAUUCAGUGAAUCAUCGAAUCUUUGAACGCACCUUGCGCUCCUUGGUAUUCCUUGGAGCAUGCCUGUUUGAGUAUCAUUAAAUCUUCAAAGUAAAUCUUUUGUUAACUCAAUUGGUUUCUACUUUGGUAUUGGAGGUCUUUGCAGCUUCACACCUGCUCCUCUUUGUUCAUUAGCUGGAUCUCAGUGUUAUGCUUGGUUCCACUCGGCGUGAUAAGUUAUCUAUCGCUGAGGACACUGUAAAAGGUGGCCAAGGUAAAUGCAGAUGAACCGCUUCUAAUAGUCCAUUGACUUGGACAAUACUUUUAUGAUCUGAUCUCAAAUCAGGUAGGACUACCCGCUGAACUUAAGC